rnacentral:rRNA from 1 species
UACGUAGGGUGCGAGCGUUGUCCGGAUUCAUUGGGCGUAAAGAGCUCGUAGGCGGCUUGGCAAGUCGGGUGUGAAACCUCCAGGCUCAACCUGGAGACGCCACCCGAUACUGCCAUGGCUAGAGUCCGGUAGGGGACCACGGAAUUCCUGGUGUAGCGGUGAAAUGCGCAGAUAUCAGGAGGAACACCGGUGGCGAAGGCGGCUCUCUGGGCAUUACCUGACGCUGAGGAGCGAAAGUGUGGGGAGCGAACAGG